rnacentral:lncRNA from 1 species
CAGAUACAUGCAUCUAAAACUUUUCACACUCAAGAGAAGGGAAAAAGAAAGAUCCCAUUUUAUGCUCUGAUGCAGCAGUGAGAUCUGUGUGCUCAGUGAUGCACAAAGCAAAACCUGAUCCUCACUAGAACACUGAUAGGCACCUCAAGUCCUUGCUCAGAGACGAGAAGAUGAAACAUUCUUCAGAUGCUUUCUCGAUCCUAAUUCAGCCUUUCAUCCCUGUCAAGUGGGAUGAAAUCACCCCUGACGGUGCCUGAGGAGGUUUUGACAUGUGCCUGCCCA